rnacentral:rRNA from 2 species
UUUAUGGAGAGUUUGAUCCUGGCUCAGGAUGAACGCUGGCGGCGUGCCUAAUACAUGCAAGUCGAGCGAACGGACGAGAAGCUUGCUUCUCUGAUGUUAGCGGCGGACGGGUGAGUAACACGUGGAUAACCUACCUAUAAGACUGGGAUAACUUCGGGAAACCGGAGCUAAUACCGGAUAAUAUUUUGAACCGCAUGGUUCAAAAGUGAAAGACGGUCUUGCUGUCACUUAUAGAUGGAUCCGCGCUGCAUUAGCUAGUUGGUAAGGUAACGGCUUACCAAGGCAACGAUGCAUAGCCGACCUGAGAGGGUGAUCGGCCACACUGGAACUGAGACACGGUCCAGACUCCUACGGGAGGCAGCAGUAGGGAAUCUUCCGCAAUGGGCGAAAGCCUGACGGAGCAACGCCGCGUGAGUGAUGAAGGUCUUCGGAUCGUAAAACUCUGUUAUUAGGGAAGAACAUAUGUGUAAGUAACUGUGCACAUCUUGACGGUACCUAAUCAGAAAGCCACGGCUAACUACGUGCCAGCAGCCGCGGUAAUACGUAGGUGGCAAGCGUUAUCCGGAAUUAUUGGGCGUAAAGCGCGCGUAGGCGGUUUUUUAAGUCUGAUGUGAAAGCCCACGGCUCAACCGUGGAGGGUCAUUGGAAACUGGAAAACUUGAGUGCAGAAGAGGAAAGUGGAAUUCCAUGUGUAGCGGUGAAAUGCGCAGAGAUAUGGAGGAACACCAGUGGCGAAGGCGACUUUCUGGUCUGUAACUGACGCUGAUGUGCGAAAGCGUGGGGAUCAAACAGGAUUAGAUACCCUGGUAGUCCACGCCGUAAACGAUGAGUGCUAAGUGUUAGGGGGUUUCCGCCCCUUAGUGCUGCAGCUAACGCAUUAAGCACUCCGCCUGGGGAGUACGACCGCAAGGUUGAAACUCAAAGGAAUUGACGGGGACCCGCACAAGCGGUGGAGCAUGUGGUUUAAUUCGAAGCAACGCGAAGAACCUUACCAAAUCUUGACAUCCUUUGACAACUCUAGAGAUAGAGCCUUCCCCUUCGGGGGACAAAGUGACAGGUGGUGCAUGGUUGUCGUCAGCUCGUGUCGUGAGAUGUUGGGUUAAGUCCCGCAACGAGCGCAACCCUUAAGCUUAGUUGCCAUCAUUAAGUUGGGCACUCUAAGUUGACUGCCGGUGACAAACCGGAGGAAGGUGGGGAUGACGUCAAAUCAUCAUGCCCCUUAUGAUUUGGGC